UACGUAGGGCGCAAGCGUUGUCCGGAAUUAUUGGGCGUAAAGAGCUCGUAGGCGGUUUGUCGCGUCUGGUGUGAAAACUCAAGGCUCAACCUUGAGCUUGCAUCGGGUACGGGCAGACUAGAGUGUGGUAGGGGUGACUGGAAUUCCUGGUGUAGCGGUGGAAUGCGCAGAUAUCAGGAGGAACACCGAUGGCGAAGGCAGGUCACUGGGCCACUACUGACGCUGAGGAGCGAAAGCAUGGGGAGCGAAC
rnacentral:rRNA from 2 species